GGUUUUUGUCAGUGUUCCACUUCCAUUGUUUUGAAUGCUUGCACAUGGAUUAGUUGCCACACACAGUGUACAAUUGUUGACUGCAAAGAGUUUACCUUAUGGAUUUGGGAAUUCUGAUGCUAGCGUGGUUUUACUUGGGACUACAACCUCCAUGGCAGCUGCUAGUGCUUGUUUCUUAUACAUUCUUAGCACACAGUUUUCAAGAACUUCGUGCUUCGUAUUGUUUGUGAUCGGCUUUCCUUUCCUUCAGCUUAUUUCAUCACUUUAAAGGAGUCAAUCAUUAAGGACAUAACCGAAAACCCUUAAUAUGCUGCUGGCAAGCUGCUAUUAAGUCCUCAAUGUACCAAUUACACUGUUGGUGAGUUUAUGCAGCUUCUAUGAGUUGAAUCAAUAUCUAAAAAGGAGUUGUUGGGUGUACCAAUUGUUUCUCCAGUAUUGAUCUGUACAGGUACCCUAGUUAUUUCUCAAUUGCUAUCCAAGAUAUAUGGAGCAUUUUCAAAUGUCGAUACUGGCAUCCAGUGAGACCUUUAUGUUGCAAAUGGCUCUGAACAACUAGCAG